AUAUUUAUGGGUAAUUACUAAUUUCAUGUCCCAUAUGUAUUAUAUCGCGUAGUAUGAAGAAACAAAGUCAAGCACUUACGAGAGCCUUUGGUGGAGUGAAAUUUUGAGUGGGAGUCUGUAUUAUUACAGUUUUGUACCGUCCAAAUGACAGCCCCGUAAAUCAGCUCCAGCCGACGCACCUUUGCUUCCAUAGCUCAUGCAUAACCACAUACCCGGGGAUUCAAAUCAACCUACAAGAAUAUUAAUCCAUUAGAACUUCAUGCAGAAUAAGAAGAAAAUUAGUCAGAUCCAAGAUGACAGCAGACCGAAUUGGUUAGGAUGUGUGUCAAUGCUUGGUGGCUUCGCCCGCCAUCACCGAGCUAUCAAAAUCACAAAGAGGAAAAUAUGUACUGGCUACUGCUCGCAUUUCACAAACACAUCAUAUUACAAUCACAUGCCUCAUUUGGAGGCCAUAUAAUAAUCAUACAUCAUUUUUGUAUCAAUAGAAAAGAAGACAUAUACUUUUCACCAUGUACACUGUGACCGUAAAAUAUAGAAUAUUUCAUGUACUGAACCGUGAGUACAAGGGUUGGAUCAUGAGUUAUCUAAAGAGAGGAAAAGAUUUUGUACAUGCAAGUAACUCAAAACGCCCAUGAAAGUAAACCAGAUCAGCACAAAAACAGAACCAAAUCAAGCAUAGAUGCAAGAGAGAAAGGGAUUUCAUCCUACCACCAGAUCGGAGGAAGUCGAUCCGUCGCCUCUCAGUCGAGGACGGCGCGCCAGUGGAGGUGAAAGCCGCCGCCUGGCAGAUCAGCAGCCUUCCGUCCAAGUCGGCCCACGCGGAAGGGG
rnacentral:lncRNA from 1 species